ACUGUGAUAAGUCGAUUCGUGUACCAGAGUGAAUCGACUUGAUCCUAUAGACAAUCAUAUUGUAUGAGAUACAAUAUAAAUAGUUUAGAUUAAAAAUUAUUUCAAGAUCUAAACUUAAAUCCAUGUACAUAAUGUACUCAAUUGAGAAUUAAGAUUUAAAAUUAUAAGAUCUAAAAUUACGAAUUUAAGAUCUAAAUUUCAAUAUAUAAAACAUGAGCUUCGGGUAUGGGUUGAA
rnacentral:lncRNA from 1 species